rnacentral:rRNA from 1 species
GUCCUUUAGAUUUUAAUUUAAGGUCUAACCUGCCCACUGAAUUUAUUUUAAAUGGCCGCAGUAAUUUGACUGUGCAAAGGUAGCAUAAUCAUUAGUUUUUUAAUUAAAAGCUUGUAUGAAGGGUUGGACGAGGUAAAAUCUGUCUCUAUUUAAUUUAAUUUAGAAUUUAACUUUUAAGUCAAAAGGCUUAAAUUUAAUUAAAAGACGAGAAGACCCUAUAGAUCUUUAUAAUAUAUUUAUUAAAUUUAAUUAAGAAUUUUUUAAAUUUUAUUAAUAUAAUUAUUUUAUUGGGGUAAUAUAAAGAUUAUAAAAAUUCUUUUUUUUUAUUUACAUUAAUUUAUGCUUAUAUGAUCCAGUUUUAUUGAUUAUAAGAUUAAGUUACCUUAGGGAUAACAGCGUAAUUUUUUUAGAGAGUUCUUAUCGAUAAAAAAGUUUGCGACCUCGAUGUUGGAUUAAAGAUUGUUUUAGGUGCAGAAGCUUAAAAAUUUGGUCUGUUCGACCAUUAAAUCUUUACAUGAUCUGAGUUCAGACCGGCGUAAGCCAGGUCGGUUUCUAUCUUUAGUUAAUUAAGAUAUUUUAGUACGAAAGGACCAAUUAUUUAAUAUAUUUAUAUUUAAUUUUUUGAUUAUUAUUAA